CCCCAGCCUUUCAAAGCACUGGGAUUACAGGCAUGAGCUAUCACACCUGAUCAAAUUUUUGUUUUGAGAUAAAAUCUAUAUACUGUGAAGUGCACACAUGUUGAACUGCAGUUUGAUCAGUUCUGACAAAUGCAUGCACUCAUGUAACCGACACUCCUAUUCAUAUAAGGAGCAUUUCAUCACUCCAGAAAGUUCCUUGGUGAAUCUUCCCAGUCAGUACUCCUCCCCUGUCCUCCAAUCUCGUUUCUAUAACCAUGGAUGCCUGUUCUAGGACCUCACAUACAGCAAAUCAUACAAUAUGGACUCCUCUGUGUCAGUUUCCAUCCAGCAUUAAGUUGAUAUUUCUGUGCAUUGAUACCAUCUAUUACUUGGAGACCUCUUUGCCAUUCAAAUUAAUGUGUGUGAAGUGUAUUGCUUACAACACAUACUAUGGAGGGUUUUGUCCUAUUGAGUGUUGCGACUGCUGGACUAGGAAUCAGCAGAACCUGACCACUAGAUGACUUUGUGACAUUCUCAAGUACUUGACUGAAAUACCUCUGCAGAUGCAUUUCAGUAUAGGACUGUGUUCCUCUCAUGAAGAUAUAAAGAAGAAGUGCCAGGUGACCAUGUAGUAUAGACACCUGACAAAAGCCCGUUAGCCUUCCUGUGAUGAUGGGUGGCCAAAUGGGUGAUAACAGAAUUACGGUAAACCUAAAGAGUCGUCAUCAUGCUCAUCUCCUCUCCAUACCUCUCCAAAAACUUGCUAACAAAUAUCAUAGUAAUUGUCUUCAUCUGUUCUCCAAUAUGAAAGUCCCCAGAGGAAUGGCCAGAAAGCAAGAAUCUGGAUGUGGUCAGGUGUUUGACUAGGCCUUGAGUUUCUUAAGAAGUGGCUGAGGGAAUGAAUAUUUGGAGGAACCUAUGGGUAUAUGUUUGAAAGACCCUGUUUGAAUGACCCUAUUAUGUUACUUAUAUUUGGAUUGGGGAGAAGGAGGAAGGGGAGGAAGGAAGGGAGGGAGGGAGAUGGAUUAUUGAAGUGAGGUGUGUUGCAUUGGAGGACUUAAUAUACUGUAUACAUUGAGAAAAACCACAAAGGAAAAAAUCCCAUCUGUAUUGUACUGUGUAGUACUAAUGUCCAAAGCAGUGGUGGUGGUGGUAUUGGGGCAUUUCUAAGAGGUGGGUAGAUUUCCUAACAAACUAGAAGGAAACAAGCUUAAGGAAAAUUACCUUCCUCUUAUGCAACUCAGGAUACCCUGUGGCCUAGGUAGGCAUUCCUAGAUGAGAAGGUGCAGGGUAAAGAUAAGCCAGAUGACAAUUACUUUAGCUUUUACCUCCGAGAUACUUUGCUUUUGACAGAACUUUCAUCUCUAGGAAAGAGGCCACCUGCGACAGAUACAAAAUCUCCUAAGUUGCAUUUUGGAUGUGAUUGUUUUGUGGUUUAAUUAGCUGAUGUCUAUAAAGCGCUUUGAGGGUAGAAAGUCCUAAGUGGCAAGAGCGCAGCGGCCUCUUGUAUCCAGGGUGCCACUUGCCAGCAAUGUCACAAGAGUCGCUAAUCGGUCCAGUCAAAGGUGCUUUAUCUCCUGUCCUCAGGGUUUUGCCACCUCGUUCCAGCAUGGAUAAAUCUUUACACCCUAGAUCCAGUUAUUAACAGUAACCAGUAAUUUCCAACCAAGAUGGUGCUGGCUUUGAAGCCUGGAAUGCUGAGGUCACUAACAAUCUUAUCUCCUUUUCAUUAAAUGGCCCCUGCAUUGCAGCUGUGAGUCAGCCACUCCCCAUCUCAGCUAGUCAGAGUGGAGAUCAGUGAAGUAACCGGAACUAAGAGGACUCUAGUUACAGUAAUUAAUCUAGCUUUCCCCAGGUUGAUGCUACUGUAAGCACCCGGGAUCAAGAAAUAAAGCUAACAAAAAAUUAAUUCCACGAUUGCAAUUAUAGAUGUAGAACAGAUACAGACAGACACAGCACCUUGUAAAUAUGUAUGAUGCAAGAUGACAUCCCCAAAGUCUUAUAUGCUUAUUUCAUUUAAAGAAACCUGUUAGACACCUACCUGGGAGUAGGCAGCUCCCCAGAAGCUUCCCAGCACAGCUUCUGAGAAGUGCUUUGCUCUUCAGCUGGCUCAGACUGCUGCCUGGCUGAACAGGGAAGGCCUCAAAGUUGCACAGGGCUGGACAGGGCAGAGAGCGGGCAUGUUCCUGGGCUGGGCCCCACUCAGGAGGUGGGGGGCGUGCUCCUCUGUCCCAGUCAAAGGCCAGGCAGCCAAUGGGCAGGGGGACGCGGCCAGGGCAACCACCUGGUCUGGGAAAAGGAACAAGCUUUGGGGUGGCAUAAACCGCAUAGACCCCGUGCGGUUCAUCCCAUGGAGGAAAGAGGACUGACGCACUCAUCUCCACACAUCUCAAGCAUGUCUGCUAGAAAGGUCUUUCUCCAGAAUAUUUUUUAAAACUUUGUUUAAAAGGAAGUUAACUUGCUUAAAUCCUGUAUUUCUCCUAAAUAAUUAUGUUGUCUGUGUAGCUUAUAGAGCCCUUUUUUGCCUAGCUACAGUUCUUGUUUUAUGUCAACUAUGUCAACCAUACUUUUUAAAAUAUAAAUGAAAAUGAUCCAUUUAUAUAUAGGUUGCACUACACAUGCCAUUAAGUUCUCCUUUCGUGAAGUGAACACCUGUAAUUUUUUUUACCACCCUGUGCUUUAUUGACAAGCAGGCACAUAAUGAAGGCCAUGUUCUCAUUUACUUUCCACGAAAGCUCUACUGUGCCAGCCGGACUUUGCCGCUGGUAUCUGGGGCAUGCAUAUGGAUGGAUGCAUUUCUUUCCAUUUGUUUAGUAGUGAUUAACAGCUGCUGAUCCCAAAUGACAAAAUCUACCAACUGCGAUCCCAUCAGAAAAGAGGGGUGCUCAGAGGAUUUUAAAGUGCCCAUUAGGCACCAUCCAGGAGGACUGGACCGCACAUCCUGAGUCAUCUAAGGAGGCUCCCAGCAGAGGUGACAGUGGUGACGGUGGGAGUGCCCCGUGGUGGUUUUAUUCUAAGUCUACACCAUUGCUGAUUGCCACACAGCGGCCUCCAUAAGGGUGGCCACGGACGAGGCCAUGGUGCAGGGCCUGCUCGAGCUGUUCUGCUCCCUCUGCCACUUCCUCUCCACUGCCUGCACCCUCCGCGGGCCAGUGCUGACUGACUCCAUUUCCCUGAGGCUGCCUGAGCAUUGUUUGAGCUCUGCCGGCAUUCUGUUAGCCUCUGUUGAUGGACAGUCCCACCGAGUCCGCUUCCUGAGCAGACAGGACCGCCUGCUGUUUUCUUCUCCUCUCUUAUCGCCCCUGUCGUUAAAGGAGAGGUCUGACGUCCACUUCAGUUUGUGUGGAUAGACAGCAGUAAGGGAACAGGGGGGAAUGUUCAUUACCGCUGUUAACAGCACAGCAUUUCUUACUGCCCGGACAUUCGCUCCCUCUUUGGGAAGGAUUAAACCAAAGGAUAAAUUCGUGAGCGUGGAAGGCUUCAAGCUACACCCAGGAAGAGAUAUCGUAUAUUGCAAAUUUUCUGGGGGAGCUUUCAGAAUUCAUUUUUUGUUAUUUCCCAGUCUUAUUCUCAACUAUCUGGAAUCUUGACUAGGAUACUCUGUGCGGCUUGAGAGCUUUUUCCUGAGGCUUUUUGUUGUUGUUUAGCAGCUCUGUCUUUCUGAAAAAGAAACAUCACCCCCAGAGUCCAGCUUUCCUAUUCACUCUACACUGGCAGAAAGUUGGAUCAAGAACCAAAUUCAUUGGCAUUCUUUUAUUCCCUUGGAACCUAAGCUAUUCCUCAAUUUUGCUUUUCUAAGAAAAGUAGAAGGGGGAAAAAAAGAAUAUUAAGUGCCACUCACAGCUCUGUAUCUUAAAUUCCUGAUGACAUUUCGCCAAGGCUUUCAUCAGUCUCGGCUUUCCUUAUUAACAUCCCUGUCCAUACAUCUUCUCCUAUUUAUAGCACUCAAGAGUCAAUUUCUUCCAAGAGGUACAUUAGAAAUUUAACAAUAGUCUGCCAAAAGAUCUCAUACUCUUAAAAUAUUUCUCCACCUAAACAUGUUCUUUGCAAGUCUUGUAAGCAGACCUGUUGAGGAAAUGCAGCGUCCGACAUCUAGUUUGAACUAAAUAUUAAAGUUUUCCCAAAGCAAACUCAGUGAAAAGGGGAGAAAAUGAAAUCAGACUGUGAACUUCAAAAAAUUAUCCUAUGUGAUACAAUCUGUUUAAUAGCAUUCCCCACAGUGGUUUUAGAGAAAGUGGUAUGGAGGUGGGAGUAUCAAAGGGAAUGAAUGUGUUAAAGAAUGAUCAAAAUAACAUCCGGGGAAGGAAUGAAAACUAACCAGUGUGAUUUUAAAGCUGCGUUGUUAUCUAGAUGGAAGAGAUCUGAGGAAAGGGACCUGUAGUUAGGGUAGACGAUAAUGGCACACUGUGGUCUCUCCUUUUCUGGAGUUUGCGUUAACUACUGUGGGCUCAGAAACGGGCUUAAUGACUUUUCCAGCAUUUGGUCUGGCUUUUUAUCAGUUCACUUUAACAAGAGCAUAAGCCAGGAAAGCCUAAAAAAUGGCUGCAGCCAAACGUGCCCUCCUCCAUGCUGCUGUUUGCAACUCCAUAGAAGUACGUGUGGAUGGCACAGCUAAAGGACAGCUCCCGAAGGUCAAAUGAAUGCACACGGUCCGUGAGUCAGAAAUCUGAAGGGCCGUGUGGACCCAGACAUUGCUCCUGCUGUUUUGCUGCUGUAAAAUGCUCAGUGAAACCUAAUUGAAUUUGACAAUUAUAAAUUACAUAUUGAAACCGUAUAGUUCACCUAAGGAAUAGCAAUGAAAACAGUGAAGACACCAGAGGCCAGAGUUCAGGAAAUGUCAUAUUCACAUAGAAAUACUUUAAAUUUUUCUCAAAGCUUUAUUUUCUCUUUUUUCAAGAAAAGCUCCAGACCACCCAGUGCACGAAGUCCUUUUUGGAAGCUGUACGUAAAAUUAUCACUUUAAUUCGGCUUUUGUCAUACUAAGGCUGUAAGCACAUGUAUAAUGAAGGAACUGAACUGUCAAAAAAGAAGAAAAGAGCGCAGCAGAUAAGCUCACUCUUCUCUCUUGUCCUGAGGAGCUGAUUAUACCCUAGCGGAGGAGAUUUGUGGAAGUUCAAAAAUCUUUAAGAGGGAGGUAAAGAUUAAAGGAACACGUAUCAGGGCCCACACUCCCCUCUCACUCCUCACAGUUCUGUAUCUGAGCAUGGCAGUUCGGACCCGUUGUAUGAACACAGUAUCCACCACCUGAUUUCUUCUCAGCCCACAGGAAGCCUUAUUUAAAGAAGGGAAUCCACAUCCUUGCUCUCCUUCUAGAGCUACGUGCACUCUCCCACACAGGCCCUCCCCGUGCCACCCUUUAGGUGUGUCCUGUGCCUAGAACCAUGCAGAAUGAACCACUGACUGUAUCUUUUCUAUAAAUGACACCAGUGGGAAGAAAUAAGAAAUUCCUUCAGGAACAGUUAAGUGUAAAACAAGCUGGGAUGCUCGUCAUCUUUCCUUAAAAGUUGAUUGGAACAUAAGCUUACUGCCCAGUCCAGAUGUCAGUCUAGGAGCAGCUGGCAUGGAGAGCCGAUGUUUUGUUCUAAGGGGACCUCAUCCUCUUUCUUCCCAAGGUCUCUUGGUCUAAUUAAAUUUCAGGGAGACAGCGCCUUGGCAGAAGGUUAAAGGAAGCAGCUAGACUGCAGUAUUGGAGCUAGGCUCAAAACUAAAUUGAGAAGUUUAACUGGGUUCGUCUCUGGUUUCAAUGAAAUACUUUUACAGUGUAUGGUAGCAAUGUCUGUUUCUAAGCCUUUGAAAACCAUUUUUCUUUUUCCUUAAUGGUAGUUCCCUGGUUGUUUUUAUAUUAUGAGCUCCUUGUAGAAAACUACAGGAAACAUAAUUACAAUACAAAGCUCCAUUUCCCAAGCCUACCAAGAUUAUUUGAAGCCAAACCGGGUUUUAGGGUUUUGCUAACUGUAAGUUCACAGCCAUGAAUUGCAUCCUAUGCCGUGCUGGUUGAUUUACAGCCAGUGUGAUGUGAUUAAACAAUAACCAUGCUUCUCCACACCAUCUAGCUGCUAUAGGAUUGAGAGCGGGGAGGGAUGGGCUGCAUGACUCCACAUUGCACAGCGUCCUCUGGGGAAAAAGAAAGAGUAUCUUUGUGUGACGCUUAUAGCAAAAUAGAAGCCUGUAGAAAUAUAUACAAGUUUAUUUAGGGAGGGGAAAGAAAAAUAAAUUACUUUGUUUUUCUGCUUAUAUUGCUGUUUCCUUGUAGCGCUAUGUUAAAUUGCUAAUUACUAAUUUUUGUAUUCUACUUUUCCUGAAGAAUCUGUAUAUGGACUUUUAGGGCCAGCAGAAAUAACUUGUUUUAGUAUCAUUAACACUCUGGGGAGGAAACUGGUACUUUAGUGUAUUGCGAAGUGCAAAGCGUUUGAAAAAGUCGUGAUGGAUGAUGAGAACGAGAGGGAGAGUCGCCGUGUACUCUGCUGCAGCCCUAUUUCAAGCCCGCGGGUGCAGAUGUCCAGUAGGAUCCAGACAGCCUCUACUCUAGAAGGCUUAGCAGAGAAGGUGAGCUCCAAACCCAGGGCAAAGCAGUCCCGCCCCUGCCCUCCCGACCUUUCCCGUCAUGAAUCUAGAACAAAUUCCCCCGCCUGCCAAGUUUCAGGGAAGUCUGAAGAAAAUCAGCAGGAAAGGCUUUCAGUGGCAGCUCGACCGUCUGUUACUUUCACACGAUGAAACUCCUUUUAGGCUGUUCUUUAAUUUGUAUGUCGCUGCAAUAGAAUAAUCGAGUAUUUCUCUCCUACAAACAUCAGCUAUUGUCGUACUGCCUUCGCAUUCUGUUUAUUUCGAGGAAUCACAUCUUAUGUGUUAUUUGAUGAGUACAUUUGUGUAUGGAAAAGCUAAAUAUUUAUCUCACUUCUAACAAUUAUGUAUCUCAAAGUCUUUUUUCUUUCUUCCCUCCUUUCCUUCCCCUCUUUCUCCUUUCCUCCUUUCCUUUCUUCCUUGUUUCCUAUUUUGUAAUUCAUCUUGAACUCAUCUCAAUCUUCAGCCUUCCUUCCAAGGACGCCUCUUAAGUAGAUGGAAAUGAAAUGCCCUCGUUUCCUCGAGUGGAGCAGUUGGGGAAAGCGGGAGAAGGAACGCCCUCCCAGAGGGGACACUGGCGGGCAGUGCGGGGUCCUGCAGAGCUGCUGGCUGCAGCUCCGUGCUGGAUCGUGGAAGGACAAGUGGGUCGAGAUCAGCAUUUUCUUAGGAACAGAAUCAAACCGAGUAGAAUAGGGGUAGAAUAGAAUAGACCGUCUAUAGAGUUCCUGGACGCUAAGGCUAAGUAUUGCUUCGUGAAACUCCAGUUUCGUUUUAUGAACGCGUGUGUGUGCGGGAGGCCAUGUGAACUGACUUUACUGUGGGUACAAAAAGCCCAAAGCCACCGCCCAGGAAGAUACAUCCAUGGCGCCUUAGAAAGAGGGUCGCACGCUCCCACCGAGACAGAGGGGUCCACGAGUCCUGGGACCUCGCGCCCCACACCCCAAGUCCCUUCCCCGCGGGGCUGCUGGCUGUGGGUAGGAUGGGCGCUUGGCGCGGCCAGCCCUGCAGCGGGAGCUGAGCGCGCGGGGCACGGGCAACUGGGAGGGGCGCCUGGUGAUUUACUCACUUCCCUCCUAGCCGGAGAAGUGCAGUAAUUCGAAACAGUUCUCACAGUAGUGUCCCUGACAACUUAAUGU